AGUGAACGCUGGCGGUAGGCCUAACACAUGCAAGUCGAACGGCAGCACAGGAGAGCUUGCUCUCUGGGUGGCGAGUGGCGGACGGGUGAGGAAUACAUCGGAAUCUACCCUGUCGUGGGGGAUAACGUAGGGAAACUUACGCUAAUACCGCAUACGACCUACGGGUGAAAGCAGGGGACCUUCGGGCCUUGCGCGAUUGAAUGAGCCGAUGUCGGAUUAGCUAGUUGGCGGGGUAAAGGCCCACCAAGGCGACGAUCCGUAGCUGGUCUGAGAGGAUGAUCAGCCACACUGGAACUGAGACACGGUCCAGACUCCUACGGGAGGCAGCAGUGGGGAAUAUUGGACAAUGGGCGCAAGCCUGAUCCAGCCAUACCGCAUGGGUGAAGAAGGCCUUCGGGUUGUAAAGCCCUUUUGUUGGGAAAGAAAUCCAGCUGGCUAAUACCCGGUUGGGAUGACGGUACCCAAAGAAUAAGCACCGGCUAACUUCGUGCCAGCCGCCGCAGUAA
rnacentral:rRNA from 1 species